AAAACUUUUGGGAAAGAAAUUCAAUUACAAAGCUACCAAGGUCCCAACGAGGCCCCCCAGUUCCAUUUGGACCAUUAGUGGAGGUUGGAGUCGAGUAAAGAUUCAACAAAUACCAAUUAGGAGGCAGUUGAAAUCUAGGUCGAGGUGUCCACGUAGACUCGUCUCUUUGGUAGGUUUCUCGGCAUUCAAUAGCUGUACCUUCACCAAGGUUGCUCCGCUGGAAGUCGAGUGUCUUUAUGCUGUAUAUAGAUAAACGAAAUGUAA